rnacentral:rRNA from 1 species
UACGUAGGGUGCGAGCGUUGUCCGGAAUUACUGGGCGUAAAGAGCUCGUAGGUGGUUUGUCGCGUUGUUCGUGAAAACCGGGGGCUUAACCCUCGGCGUGCGGGCGAUACGGGCAGACUUGAGUACUGCAGGGGAGACUGGAAUUCCUGGUGUAGCGGUGGAAUGCGCAGAUAUCAGGAGGAACACCGGUGGCGAAGGCGGGUCUCUGGGCAGUAACUGACGCUGAGGAGCGAAAGCGUGGGUAGCAAACAGG